AUGCCAUUGGUUGUAUUUUCCACAACAAGGUUGAAACAUUUCCUUUUGUGUUACACUAUUCUAGGUGAACCAAUUAAUCCACCAGUCAUGAGGAGAGCUCCAGGACGACCCAAAAAGAAAAGAAACAAAUCUAAUAAUGAGCCUACUUCAAGCAAUGUCUUGCCUAGAAAUUUGACAACUGUCAAGUGUAAAAGCUGUGAGAAUUUUGGGCACAAUUCAAGAACGUGCAAAGGAAAGUAA